rnacentral:rRNA from 1 species
GACGAACGCUGGCGGCGCGCCUAACACAUGCAAGUCGAACGGUAACAGGAAGAAGCUUGCUUCUUUGCUGACGAGUGGCGGACGGGUGAGUAAUGUCUGGGAAACUGCCUGAUGGAGGGGGAUAACUACUGGAAACGGUAGCUAAUACCGCAUAACGUCGCAAGACCAAAGAGGGGGACCUUCGGGCCUCUUGCCAUCGGAUGUGCCCAGAUGGGAUUAGCUAGUAGGUGGGGUAACGGCUCACCUAGGCGACGAUCGGUAGCCGGACUGAGAGGUUGAUCGGCCACAUUGGGACUGAGACACGGCCCAG